UUAUAACUUUUUAUUCUUUUUAUUUUUUAAUAUUUUUUUUAACUUUAUUUAAUUAUUUAUUUUUACGGAAUUGAUCCGUCGUAACACGUUGGCGCUAUAUCUGUACGCUUUAAGUGAAUUGGUUACGUAUUUCUAACAGCUUGAACUUUUGGAAUUAAUGGUUAGCGCCAAGGAUCCGACGAGCGGUAUCAAAGCCAGAAGUCACCGGCUCGAUUUUCGCAUGCUGCAAAUAUGUGCAGGUGAGUCAUGUUCGAAGUGGCGUGAGGCUGCAGAUUGGGCCAAGUCACAGUCGAGACUCUGCGCAAGUAUAAUAAUAAGGUUAAGGUGCAAAUAAGUAUGGUGGCAAAUUAACGUACAAGUACUAUAGGCUAAUUGUACGUAAGGUCAAUCUAUUGCCACGUAUCAUGGCGGCGAAAGAAGCUCCAUAGGCCAAAGCACGUUUCAAGAGGACUUAGGCUUCGUUUGGGAUUGCGGGGAGAUUGCGUUACGUGCGGUGAGAAAGUACGUUGGAAAAAUGCUCUGUUUGUUUCCGUACGUAAUAUUGCGUUCCGCAUAUCGCGAUGAGUCGGUUAUGAUAUAUUUUCUGCGGUCCCACCGGAGAACGCAAAAGCAUAUCCUUAUAUACUUUUUCCUCAACUCAAUUUUAUCUAAUAGCGUUAGAUAGACCUAAAUACCAAACUAAGCCUUAUACUAGGAUUCUAAUGGUAGUGAAUGUGCGAGGACUAUAGGCUGAUUAAUAAAUUGCACGU
rnacentral:lncRNA from 1 species